rnacentral:rRNA from 1 species
AUGGCAUCCUUAGCCCGCGCCGCCGCCACCGCCGCGAGAGCGGCGCUCCGCCCGGCGCCCCUCGCCGGCCGUGGCCUCGGCUCCUCCCUGCCGUCUUCCUCCCCCGCACGGGCCGCCCGCCUCCUCCGCAGGUCGGCCGUGGCGGGGCUGGAGACGCUGCUGCCCCUGCACACCGCGGUCGCGUCGGCGCGCCUCAAGUCCUGCAUCGCCGUCGACUCCACCUGCUGGUGCUCCCUCUCCCAAGGCCACACCUUAGGCAAGCCACACUAG